rnacentral:rRNA from 1 species
AGAGUUUGAUCAUGGCUCAGAUUGAACGCUGGCGGUAUGCUUAACACAUGCAAGUCGAACGGCAGCACGCUACGUAGCAAUACGUAGUGGUGGCGAGUGGCGGACGGGUGAGUAACGCGUAGGAAUCUGCCUUGAAGCGGGGGAUAACCCGAGGAAACUCGGGCUAAUACCGCAUAUACUCGUGAGAGGAAAGCUAGGUAGCAAUACCCGGCACUUCAAGAGGAGCCUGCGUCCGAUUAGCUAGUUGGUAGGGUAAAGGCCUACCAAGGCGAUGAUCGGUAGCUGGUCUGAGAGGAUGACCAGCCACACUGGGACUGAGACACGGCCCAGACUCCUACGGGAGGCAGCAGUGGGGAAUAUUGGACAAUGGGGGCAACCCUGAUCCAGCAAUACCGCGUGUGUGAAGAAGGCCUUCGGGUUGUAAAGCACUUUAGUUGGGGAGGAAGUUGUAUAGUUUAAGAGAUAAUACAAUUGACUGUACCCAAAGAAUAAGCACCGGCUAACUCUGUGCCAGCAGCCGCGGUAAUACAGAGGGUGCGAGCGUUAAUCGGAAUUACUGGGCGUAAAGGGCGCGUAGGCGGUUAUAUAAGUUAGAUGUGAAAUCCCUGGGCUUAACCUAGGAACUGCAUCUGAUACUGUAUGACUGGAGUGCAGUAGAGGGUAGUGGAAUUUCCGGUGUAGCGGUGAAAUGCGUAGAUAUCGGAAGGAACACCAGUGGCGAAGGCGGCUACCUGGACUGACACUGACGCUGAGGCGCGAGAGCGUGGGGAGCAAACAGGAUUAGAUACCCUAGUAGUCC